rnacentral:rRNA from 1 species
GACGAGGGGUCCUAGCGUUGUUCGGAAUCAUUGGGCGUAAAGCGCGUGUAGGCGGCUUUCUCAGUCCGGUGUGAAAGCCCUGGGCUCAACCCCGGAAGUGCAUUCGAUACUGUUUAGCUUGAGUGUGGGAGAGGUUACUAGAAUUGUUGGUGUAGUGGUGAAAUACGUAGAUAUCGGGAGGAACACCAAUGGCGAAGGCAGCUCGCUGGGACGUGACUGACGCUGAGACGCGAAAGCGUGGGGAGCAAACAGG